rnacentral:rRNA from 1 species
GCAUUGCUUUAAACAUUUCAACGUUUUACGUUCGUAAAAAAAGAUUUAUUUUAGCUAACGCGAAAGCACUCCGCCUGGGGACUACGGCCGCAAGGUUGAAACUCAAAGGAAUUGACGGAGGAUCACACAAGCGGUGGAGCAUGUGGCUUAAUGCGUAAUAACGCGCAAAACCUUACCAGUUUUUGAAUAUUGAACAAUUUAAUAUAAAAAAUUAAUAAAUUCAUUUCUUUUAUUCUUAGAGUUAAAAAAUGACUUUCAAUA